rnacentral:rRNA from 1 species
GGAAUUGACGGGUCCCCGCACAAGCAGCGGAGCGUGUGGUUUAAUUCGUUGCUACACGAAGAACCUUACCUGGGUUUGACAUAGCAGUGGUAGGGAAGCGAAAGCGGACCGACCCUUCGGGGAGCUGUUACAGGUGUUGCAUGGCUGUCGUCAGCUCGUGUCGUGAGAUGUUCGGUUAAGUCCGCUAACGAGCGCAACCCGCGUGGUGUGUUACAAGUGUCACACCAUACUGCCGAUAUUAAGUCGGAGGAAGGUGCGGAUGACGUCAAGUCAGCAUGACCUUUAUAUCCAGGGCUACACACACGCUACAAUGGUAGGUACAACAGGUUGCCAAGCCGCGAGGCGGAGCCAAUCCUCUAAAGCCUACCUCAGUUCAGAUUGCAGGCUGCAACUCGCUUGCAUGAAGUUGGAGUUGCUAGUAACCGUAGGUCAGCUAUACUGCGGUGAAUACGUUCCCGGGGAUU